AUGUUUCCUUUUCUGGAGGAUGGUUUUGUAGGUCCUUUCUCCCUUUCUUUUCUCUCGACAAGAGAAUUUUGCCUCUUUGCCUAAUAAGUACCUAUGCUGGAAGAGUGAUGUCGUGGCUGAGUGAAUGGCAGCAGAAAAUAGAAGGUUGGCAGGCUAGUUGCAAGGAUAAAAAUAAGUUGACAUUGAAGUUAUGCAGCUCUGUCAUUGGGUUGCUGGGAUGCUCUGGUCCAGAAUUUGUGGGCAGCGAGAUAUUUGGACAGAUUGCCGAGCUGGAAUCUAUUGCUGUUUGCAGUGAUUUUGCAUCUCUGAGAAGCUUGUAUGAAAGCCUUAGAAGGGAGUCAUGGACCCUAUUUCCAAGACACUGUCUGUCUUCAGGGAGAAAGGGCAGAGCAGCAGAAUUUAGGGGGAAAAGAAUUCCCUAGGGACUCCACCAAACCUUGAGAUAGAUCUAUCUUUCCUCCUUCCUGUGGACUUGCUCAGCCUCCCAUUGUAGAACAUUCCCAUUCUUUUGUGUCAGCCACCAAUACAUGGAGGCGUUCUCUACCGGAGAACUCCUGGCUACACUUGUAUGGGAAUCAGACAUUUAAUAAUAGGAUGGACAACAUGGACAUCUGUCUAGUCAACAACAACCCUAGAAACGGAAGCAACGUGCAGAAGAUGCGGCCUCUAAGAAAUUGCCCUGUGGGAGACGUAAUAACAGAAAGUACCCUGAUCGCUGCUCUUCUGUGCAAAGCCAGUGCUCUGCAAAACACUUGCCAGUUUGGUAAAAGAACAAAGGUGUACCCAGAAGCGUAGCUUAGAUGUACAGCCUGUGAAACCCUCUCUGUCCAAGACCUGCCUUUCCUGGGAAAGGAUCCUCAGGAUACUUCAAAGGACAGGUAUAAACCUUGCACACUAAUGACCAGCAUGGGAAUGAAAAGCCUUUGACAGAGAAAGUCAUCUGCCUGAGAACAGCCACACCUGGAGAAGAGAAGACAGCCAAAGAGGACAAAACAAGAUACAGUAACACAAGGGGAAAGCCCUCAUAUCGAGGCUGGACCAGGCAAGCCAAUCAGAGGAAAAGAGUCUUAAGAGCAGGGUGAAUCCACCUACCACAAGGCCCUCAGCAGAGCCAAGCGGAUGGAACAAGUGAUCUUGGCCUCAUCCUUCAAAACUGUGUGCUAAAUAACCUUUCUUUAGAUUUAUAUGAAAUGCUCAGGGUAAGAUAUUCUAUUACAAUAACAGAAAAUAAAGUGAUACAACACUUCACAAAAUGUGAGUAUGAAGAAGGACAGGAGUGUAAUUUAGCAGUAGAGCAUUUUCUUAGCAUAUGUGAGACUUAGGUUUCAAUUAUUAGUGCACACAUGUGUAUAUGUGUGCACACAUCCCCCCCCAGUGCACAAACACACACACAUACACACCCCUACCUGGCUGUCCAUCUGUUCACCUACCCAUCCAUCUGUCUGAAGAAGCUUCUAUGGAAAGAUAAUUUCUUUUAAUGUGAUACAAGAAAAGUUUUGAAGUAUAAAGCAUAGCAAAACAUGGCUUCUAGUUUCUGUGGAAGGCUACCACACUCUUUCAGCAAAUGAGUAUUUUCUCAUUUAUGCAUCCAAUCAUUCAUCUAAUUAAAAAGUCUGAGUCCCAACUCUGUGUACAAUAUGGUGUUUAGUCUCUGUAAUUCACACAUGACUGAUGGCUUUGUCCUUAGUUUCAAAGAUCUCACUCUGAAGCAGAAAAAAAAUGGGGCAGUAGAGGUGACCCAGUAACCCCAGCUAACAACACCCUGGCCAAGAUGCCUCCUCUCCUAGUACCCAGUGUGGAUUUGCCAGGGCAAUAGAGUCCACAGUGACCGUAUGCAUUAGCUGCUUUUCUUGUGGCUGUAAAAACAGCUGACAAGAGCCAGAGUUUAUUUCAUCUCCCAGUUUCGGGGUACAGUCCACAUGGUGGCUGAAGAAUGAGGCAAGUUGGCCACACGUUGUCCAUAGUCAGGAAGGAUGGAGAGAUGAAUGAUAGUGUGUAUCUCACUUUCUCCUUUUUAUUCAAUCUUGGACCUCAGUCCAUGGAAUGAUGGCACCCAUUUUUAGGGUGGAUACUCAUUCCUCAGUUAAACCACUCUGGAAAUACAAUCAUACACACACACAUAGGUAGGUUUCUUUCUAUGGUGAUUCUAAAGUCUGAUUGACAAGGAAGAUUAGCUAUCACACAUUGUGUAAAUAAUUUUUUUAUGUAAUACGAAACCAAAAGAAUAUCUGUGUCAUGUUUUGAGAGAGUCUUGAGGUCUUGGAGCUUCAAAGGAGCACAAAGCCCAUUAAAAAAAUUGGGUGAUUCUCUCUUGCUUCGGACUACCCUUCCCCAGCUAGUGGCUUUCCAUACCUUUAUGGUGCUAUAGAAAUCCCAUCUAGACUGGCCCAGCAGCCAGACCGGCAGGACUCAUCUCCUCAGUAACAUCUGCAUCUCUGAAGCAGAGGCAGUGGGAACACAAAGCGGUAUUGACAGAUCCACAUGGGUAACAAAGUCUUUCUAUUAUAGAGAAGGUGGAACAAGGGAGACAAUGAAACCAGCAGUGGAUUGAAUUGAGCCUUUUGGGGCCCUUUCCAUGAAGAUACUGUUUGUCUCUGACUUGGAUAAUUCUAUCUUCUAGGGGUAUAAAGAUGGCGAACCAUGUGCCUUUUUAUCACACGGCUCCUUUCUACCUCACUGUGGUAGCUGCAUCCGUCACUCUUGUGUUGCUCUCACCAAAAUGAUUGACAGAAACAACAACGUAAGGAGGGAGAGAUUUGUCUCAGUCCAUCAUUUCAGAGGGUCUUGGUCCAUCGUAUCCAAGAAGCCAUGGUAAGAACUACCCAGCUCAUGAUGGCACGAGCGUGUGGCUGAGCUUUAAGCAUCAUGGCAGACCAGGAAACAGAGAGCAACCAGAACCAGGGUUAGAUUAUCAUCUCUAAGAAUCUGUCCCUAGUGACCUACUUUUACCAGCCAGUUCUUGUGUUCUAAACCUCUUGCAGUCUCCCAAAGCAGCAAAUGCCUGGGAAACAAACAUUUGAAAAUGAGCCCCUGAGGGACACUUUAGAUUCAAGUCACAACACUAGCUUUCUUGGGCUUGUGAUAUAAGAUUCUGGGACAAAGUUGAAUGGCUGGUGGGUUGGUCAAAAUCCUACAGGGAAGCACUUGGAAUCUUAAAAUUAAGAUACUUUUAGAAGGGCCAGCAUCUAUUUCUCUUUGAUUGCUGGUCUGCUGAGAUAUGACCAAACUGCCACAUUCUCCUACUGCCAUGAAACUGCCUGCCACCAUGUCCUUCUUAUCAUGAUGAACUGGAUCCAUCCAAAUACCGGCUGAGAUAAACCCUUCCUGCAUUAAGUUGUUUUUUGUAAGAAGCAUUUGAUGUCAUUGAGAAGAAAAGUCACCAACACAUAAAGCUGUUAAUGUGAGUGUGGUUGAUGCUACUGCUGUAUGAAACCUAAUCAUAGGCCUUCAAAAUUCACUGGAAGAGAAACAUGGAAGGGUUUGGUGCGGAGGGCUGCAGAAACCCUAGAAUGUUGUCAGCAGGGCUUGCUGAGUGAUUCUGGUUAGAGUGAAAGACCAGAAUACUGAUAGAAACAUGAAUAGCAAAGAAAGGCCACGUUUAUGAUGUUUCAGAAGGAAACAAUUCCUUUUAAAAGUUCCAAGUCCAUCUUGAAGACUGGAACUUCAAAAGAUCAUAGAACCAAUAAAAAACGAUGGAUCCUUUCUUGUUUUUAUUUAUUCUCUGAGGAUUUCAUACAACAUAUUUUUAUCAUAUUCUUUCCUCUCCCCAUACUUUUCCAGACCUUUCCAACAUUCCCUACCCACCCAACUUCAUGUUCUUUAAAAAACAAACAAGUAAACAAACACCCAAAACCAUGGAGUCCUAUUUGUGUUGGCCAGCUAUCCCUGAGCCUGCCCUGGGGUGUGGUUGAUAUACUCAAAGUCACUCCAUUGAAGAGAACUGAUUUUCCUUCUCCCAGCAACUAUAAAUUGCUAAUAGCUUCUUGACAAAAAUGGAAUGUGUGAAUAAUGUAUAGUUUGUUGAGAAGAGGGUGUUAACAUAGUUAAAAUUGUGGACAGAGAAGACAAAGUGUAUGAAGACGGUAUGGCUGUAUAGGAGACUGAAAUCAAUAAAGUAAAAAUUCCAUUCUGCCAUACAACAUUCAGAAUGGUAACUUGAGGGACAUGGCUCACCAAAGUCUUCAGGGUAUUAAAUGCACAUUCAUUUGAAAGCAGAAUGCCAGAAAAGAAUGCCUGAAACAUGGUGUCUCCAUGGCACCCUGCUGCAUCUUGAAGUGGCAUUGCAAGUUCGUGUUUUUCACAUGGUCUUGUAGGCAUGCAGAAAGUAUGAGUUAUGAGGCAAUGGAGGUUUGCACCAAGGUUCCAAAAAAAGCUCCCCAGGCCAAGCAAUGUGUAGCAGAGACAGAUACCUGCCUAGAGCUUGUGAGUGGACUGUGGAUGGAAUUGUGAAGGUGAAGCCUGAGACUCACUGGAUCCCAAGGGUACUGAAGAUACCAAAAAUGUGUGAGUUGUCCUGAGGAAAGCUGCAGGCCACAGGUGGAGCAGUCCAGAGAGAGGCCACAACUGCUUCAGGCAAUAGAACUCAGAAAAGCUACGCAAACCUGUUGAAGUCCAGAUGAUGCCAUCAUGAGUCCUAAGUUUCAGUAUAAAUGAUUUGGUGUUUGUCCUUUGUAGGUUUUUUUUUUUUUUUUUUUUUUUUUAUCAAAUCUUUCCCUGCCCUCCUCCAAAUCCUCCAUGUUGGAUGAGGAUAUUUACCUUCUGUCACAUAUUGGAAAUAUGUAACUUUUUUAUUUUGUUGGGGUUUACAGGUAAGAGAUUGUUUUGAGUCUCAGAAAAGACUAUGGCUUUUGGACAGCUAAACAGUGUUGGAAUUGUAAGACUAUCGGCAUACACUGAAUAUAUUUUGUAUUUUAAGGUAGAGGGCCAUGAACCUAUGGUUAUCAGGAGUUAGAAUAUUAUGAAUUGAUGUAACAAGUUGGGACGUCAAGUUGAUAUGCAGUGGACUUGCAAUGGUUAGUUUUCAAUGCCAACUUGAUUGAAUUUAGAAUACCCCAGAUACUGAGGUCUUCUCAGUAUGCCUUUGAAGAGUUUUUCAGAGAGAAUAAGCUAAUGGGGAAAGAUUCAUCCUAAAUAUCUGAGGUACCAUCCAAUGGGCUGUGGGCUGGGUACAAUAAAAGAGAAAAAAAGAAAAAGCUAUUUGAGCACAAACAUUCACCUUUGUUUUCUUGUCUGUAGAAAUGGAGUGAACUGCUUCAUACUCUUGUUGCCACAGCUGCCAGUGACAUCUGUCUUCUGCCAUGCUGUGUCCCCUAAAACCAAAGUUAAAUAAAACAAAUCCUCCUGU